AGAAGAGUAAUUUUCUAGUCAAGGUUUCUGACUGCAAAUCUGGAGAUCUGAAUUUUAUUCUCAGCUCUGCUA
rnacentral:tRNA from 1 species